GACGAACCGUCCAAACGUUAUUCGGAAUCACUGGGCUUAAAGGGUGCGUAGGCGGCUCAGAAAGUAGGGUGUGAAAGCCCUCGGCUCAACCGAGGAAUUGCGCCCUAAACUACUGGGCUUGAGGAUUGGAGAGGCAAGGGGAAUUCCACGUGUAGCGGUGAAAUGCGUAGAGAUGUGGAGGAACACCGAUGGCGAAGGCAGCCCCCUGGGUUAACACUGACGCUCAGGCACGAAAGCGUGGGGAGCAAACAGG
rnacentral:rRNA from 1 species